rnacentral:rRNA from 1 species
UGGGGAAUAUUGGACAAUGGGCGCAAGCCUGAUCCAGCCAUGCCGCGUGAGUGAUGAAGGCCCUAGGGUUGUAAAGCUCUUUCACCGGUGAAGAUAAUGACGGUAACCGGAGAAGAAGCCCCGGCUAACUUCGUGCCAGCAGCCGCGGUAAUACGAAGGGGGCUAGCGUUGUUCGGAUUUACUGGGCGUAAAGCGCACGUAGGCGGACUUUUAAGUCAGGGGUGAAAUCCCGGGGCUCAACCCCGGAACUGCCUUUGAUACUGGAAGUCUUGAGUAUGGUAGAGGUGAGUGGAAUUCCAAGUGUAGAGGUGAAAUUCGUAGAUAUUCGGAGGAACACCAGUAGCGAAGGCGGCUCACUGGACCAUUACUGACGCUGAGGUGCGAAAGCGAGGGGAGCAAACAGG